rnacentral:rRNA from 1 species
GAUGAACGCUGGCGGCGUGCCUAAUACAUGCAAGUCGAGCGAACAGAUAAGGAGCUUGCUCCUUUGAAGUUAGCGGCGGACGGGUGAGUAACACGUGGGUAACCUACCUAUAAGACUGGGAUAACUUCGGGAAACCGGAGCUAAUCCCGGAUAACAUUUAGAACCGCAUGGUUCUAAAGUGAAAGAUGGUUUUGCUAUCACUUAUAGAUGGACCCGCGCCGUAUUAGCUAGUUGUUAAGGUAACGGCUUACCAAGGCGACGAUACGUAGCCGACCUGAGAGGGGGAUAGGCCACACUGGAACGGAGACACGGUCCAGACUCCUAAGGGAGGCAGCAGUAGGGAAUCUGCCGCAAUGGGCGAAAGCCUGACGGAGCAACGCCGCGUGAGUGAUGAAGGGUUUCGGCUCGUAAAACUCUGUUAUUAGGGAAGAACAAAUGUGUAAGUAACUGUGCACAUCUUGACGGUACCUAAUCAGAAAGCCACGGCUAACUACGUG